rnacentral:rRNA from 2 species
GCUAGUUGGUAAGGUAACGGCUUACCAAGGCAAUGAUGCAUAGCCGAGUUGAGAGACUGAUCGGCCACAUUGGGACUGAGACACGGCCCAAACUCCUACGGGAGGCAGCAGUAGGGAAUCUUCCACAAUGGACGCAAGUCUGAUGGAGCAACGCCGCGUGAGUGAAGAAGGUUUUCGGAUCGUAAAGCUCUGUUGUUGGUGAAGAAGGAUAGAGGUAGUAACUGGCCUUUAUUUGACGGUAAUCAACCAGAAAGUCACGGCUAACUACGUGCCAGCAGCCGCGGUAAUACGUAGGUGGCAAGCGUUGUCCGGAUUUAUUGGGCGUAAAGCGAGCGCAGGCGGAAGAAUAAGUCUGAUGUGAAAGCCCUCGGCUUAACCGAGGAACUGCAUCGGAAACUGUUUUUCUUGAGUGCAGAAGAGGAGAGUGGAAUUCCAUGUGUAGCGGUGGAAUGCGUAGAUAUAUGGAAGAACACCAGUGGCGAAGGCGACUCUCUGGUCUGCAACUGACGCUGAGGCUCGAAAGCAUGGGUAGCGAACAGGAUUAGAUACCCUGGUAGUCCAUGCCGUAAACGAUGAGUGCUAAGUGUUGGGAGGUUUCCGCCUCUCAGUGCUGCAGCUAACGCAUUAAGCACUCCGCCUGGGGAGUACGACCGCAAGGUUGAAACUCAAAGGAAUUGACGGGGGCCCGCACAAGCGGUGGAGCAUGUGGUUUAAUUCGAAGCAACGCGAAGAACCUUACCAGGUCUUGACAUCUAGUGCCAUCCUAAGAGAUUAGGAGUUCCCUUCGGGGACGCUAAGACAGGUGGUGCAUGGCUGUCGUCAGCUCGUGUCGUGAGAUGUUGGGUUAAGUCCCGCAACGAGCGCAACCCUUGUUAUUAGUUGCCAGCAUUAAGUUGGGCACUCUAAUGAGACUGCCGGUGAUAAACCGGAGGAAGGUGGGGAUGACGUCAAGUCAUCAUGCCCCUUAUGACCUGGGCUACACACGUGCUACAAUGGACAGUACAACGAGAAGCGAGCCUGCGAAGGCAAGCGAAUCUCUGAAAGCUGUUCUCAGUUCGGACUGCAGUCUGCAACUCGACUGCACGAAGCUGGAAUCGCUAGUAAUCGCGGAUCAGAACGCCGCGGUGAAUACGUUCCCGGGCCUUGUACACACCGCCCGUCACACCAUGGAAGUCUGCAAUGCCCAAUAUUCGGUGGCCUAACCUUCGGGAAGGAAG